rnacentral:lncRNA from 1 species
UAAGAACUAAAUUGAAUCUUGACAGUGAUCACAGAAGAUAGAUGCUAACAGCUAUAGCAGUAACUCUUAUUCCAUUGCCGACCCGAAGGACCAUUUCAUCUCUCCUCAGCCUUCUACUUUUUAUCAGAUCCUACAUUGAAGUACAUAAAUGAGCAUUAGAAUUAGAGUCUAUGAUCCAAGAGAAAACUAUUAAAUUUGAUUCAAUUACGA